AGUCGCUCGCAGCACGCGGCCGGCGCUGGUCGCGUCUAUUCGGUCCGCGCUGCCCUCUCUACGCCGCCCGCCCUACGUCACGGUGUCGCGAUCGGGUGCACUCCCUCACACCCUGCACCGAUGCUGGCGCACUAGGCGGCCUGCACACAUGCACUUUUCAUUCAUCCCGGAGGCGGCCGCGACUCGCGAUCGCUCCGCGCUCGGUUCGGUCUUAUCAAUUGCCCGUGCGUCUUUAUGAGGCAGUGACCCUGAAGCCGAAGCAACUUGUGUAGUAUCGAAGUGAUCUACCCGAACUGAUUUUGGCCAACUAAACUUUUGAAAACAAAAACUCUAACGAUAAAAAAAGUAAAGUAUUUAAAUCAUAACGUAGUUAGUGUGUAUGUUUGUUCAUUAAAAUUCUUAAUUCUUAAAGUGCCUGAUAGUGGAUUAGUUGUAACAUUAGGUUAUUAACAAUUUUAAAGAUAAGUGACAGUGUUUGAGGAACAUCACAUUUUAGUGAUAAUUUGGUACAUUAGUGUGGUGAGAAGAAAUUCUAACCUACGGUGCUGCGGGUUCCGCAACUAUGUUAUAAAGUGAUGGGUGUGGAGCGUGGCGCGCGCGGGCGGCGCAUGCGUGCGGUGGGUGCAAGCGCGUG